CACACACACGCACGCACCGUUUUCUGACUGGUAUCGUCACUACGCAUUAAGUCAUCCCUUCAUCGAGUUAUCUACCAAAAAGAAAGGCAGCCCGGGGUCCGCGUUCCACACAGCGCUGCGCUAACCGGGCUGCUUCGCGCCGCGCCGCGCCGGCAGCACCGCGGCAACCCGCAGCGGAGCGCCGCUUCCCGCAGCGCGACGCCGCGCGCCCCGGCCCUCCCCGUACAGCCGCAUCCCGCAGGUGCACGGCGGCGCCCACGGAGCCCUGAGCCCGGCAACCACACGCUUACGUGUAGAUGAUGGACAUGAAGUGCAUGAGCCACAGCACGACAAAGAGGAUCAGACCGAAGAUAGCGAGUCCCUCAAGGGCCAGCGCCAGCACCGCCAUCCUCGAGGCGCGGCGGCUGCGGAGCCGCGAACGGAUAGGAGGGAGGAACGGAGGGACGCGUCACCCCGGCCCGGCGGCGAGCGCGGCUGCCGCACUACGGAGCGCGGCGCGGCCCGGCCUGCCCCCGCCUUUCUGCCAGGCGCGGGCCCCGCCUGCCGGGGGCGGAGAGUGGUUGUGGCCGUUACAGCGCCGCCCCGCGCCUGCGCGACCUUGGGGCGUCCGCGGCCGUGAUUUGCGAGCUGUGGUGCGCCCGGCUGCGCUGUGGCGGGCGGGGAGCGCGUGAGGCGCUGCGGACGGCGGGCUAUGCGCGCUUCGUGCUCAGGGGUGCCACCGGGUGCCACUGGCUGAGGGGUUUGGCACGAAGUGCCGGUGCCUCGAUUCUCAGACUCGCUUACCGCAGGCUGCGUUUCUGUCUCGCACGUAACUGAGGGCAGUUACCAGUUUUUCGUUUUGCUUUUUGUUCCUGCGGUGAACAUCAGAGGAUCAGGUUUAUAUUGAUUUAAAGUCACCUCUAGGGAGAAGUUUAAGGUGAGAAGUGCAGCAACGAUCUCCUAGGAGGCUGCGGUACCUGACACUGCCAUCAAUGUCUGGUUUAGUAUGUGUACACUUUCCAACUCAAUGUACUGUAACUGUUUCUGUUAACAACGGUAUCACUGCGAUCCUGGGCAAAUAAAAGGCAAGAACAAGUUAUUGGUGAACAUAUGGAUGUAAGGUGAGG
rnacentral:lncRNA from 1 species